rnacentral:rRNA from 1 species
UACGGAGGAUGCAAGCGUUAUCCGGAAUGAUCGGGCGUAAAGCGUCCGCAGGUGGCUGUGUAAGUCUGCUGUUAAAGAGUCUAGCUCAACUAGAUAAGAGCAGUGGAAACUACACGGCUAGAGUACGUUCGGGGCAGAGGGAAUUCCUGGUGUAGCGGUGAAAUGCGUAGAGAUCAGGAAGAACACCGGUGGCGAAGGCGCUCUGCUAGGCCGUAACUGACACUGAGGGACGAAAGCUAGGGGAGCGAAUGGG